CCUACGGGAGGCAGCAGUGAGGAAUAUUGGUCAAUGGGCGAGAGCCUGAACCAGCCAAGUCGCGUGAGGGAGUACUGCCCUAUGGGUUGUAAACCUCUUUUGUCGGGGAGCAAAAGCCGGACGUGUCCGGCUGUGAGAGUACCCGAAGAAAAAGCAUCGGCAAAUCCCGUGCCAGCAGCCGCGGUAAUACGGAGGAUGCGAGGGUUAUCGGGAUUUAUUGGGUUUAAAGGGUGCGCAGGCGGAGUUUUAAGUCAGCGGUAAAAUCGUGGGGCUCAACCCCAUCCAGCCGUUGACACUGGGGAUCUAGAGUGUGCGAGAGGUAUGCGGAAUGCGUGGUGUAGCGGUGAAAUGCAUAGAGAUCACGCAGAACCCCGAUUGCGAAGGCAGCAUACCGGUGCACAACUGACGCUCAGGCACGAAAGCGUGGGUAUCGAACAGGAUUAGAUACCCCGGUAGUC
rnacentral:rRNA from 1 species